GUUACUACAAUUUGUAAGUCGCUCUGGAUAAGAGCGUCUGCUAAAUGACUUAAA
rfam:Salmo salar isolate Sally breed double haploid chromosome ssa16, whole genome shotgun sequence.